rnacentral:rRNA from 1 species
GACGAACGCUGGCGGCGUGCCUAAUACAUGCCAGUAGAACGCGGAAGUAGGAGCUUGCUUCUCUGGAUUAGUUGCGAACGGGUGAGUAACGCGUAGGUAACCUGCCUGUUAGCGGGGGAUAACUAUUGGAAACGAUAGCUAAUACCGCAUAAUAGUAGAUGUUGCAUGACAUUUGCGUAAAAGGUUCAAUUGCUUCACUACCAGAUGGACCUGCGUUGUAUCAGCUAGUUGUUGGGGUAACGGCUCACCAACGGGACGAUAGAUAGCCGACCUGAGAGGGUGAUCGGCAUAGCUGGGCUGGAGAGACGGCCAACAAUCCUACGGCAGGGAGAAGUCGCGAACCCUCGGGAAAGGCAGGAAGUCUGAACGUGCAACGCUGCGUGAGUGCCGAAGGUUGUAGGAUCGUAAAGCUCUGUUGUACGAGAAGAACGAGUGUGAGAGUGGAAAGUUAACACUGUGACGGUAUCUUACCAGAAAGGGACGGCUAACUCCGUG